rnacentral:rRNA from 1 species
CCAAGGAUGGGUCUGGGGCCUAUCAGGUAGUAGUGGGUGUAACGUACCUACUAGCCGACAACGGGUACGGGUUGUGAGAGCAAGAGCCCGGAGAUGGAUUCUGAGACAUGAAUCCAGGCCCUACGGGGCGCAGCAGGCGCGAAAACUUUACAAUGCGGGAAACCGUGAUAAGGGGACACCGAGUGCCAGCAUCAUAUGCUGGCUGUCCGGAUGUGUAAAAUACAUCUGUUAGCAAGGGCCGGGCAAGACCGGUGCCAGCCGCCGCGGUAA